ensembl:lncRNA
AUGAUGAUGAUCUCAGUAACAAUUGUGCAGAUCUUUUUAACACAUCCAUUCAACAAGCCAUCAAUUGCUUUCAUGUCUUCCGGAGUCAAUUCAAAGUCAAGAACCUGGAAUAAAGGAAGAAUCACGUUGACUUCUCCCCUAAGGAGCUGGCCUCCCCCUGAGGACUGCAGGACCUUCCAGCUGGAUGGAGACAAGAAGAGGGGACAGGGAAGCCGUGUCUGUCUUCAGCUUCCAGGUGAACAACUUGGGACCCUCUGCAGAGUUCUCACUUCUCCUUUCUACAACUUCUACUUUUCUGCUCCAGUUCUCAGACAGACACACACACACAGGUUGCAAGGCAUCAAUCCCCUAUCUUUCUACGUGAAUUUCUUUUGACAGAAGAAAAGCAAACAAAAAAUCAACUUUUUUUGCAAACAAAGACACUGUUGGACAACCUGGACAAAAUACAUGCACUUGACCGAACACUAGACUGUUUUCUUCCUUCUCAACAUCCUCUAAAAUAUGACACAGCAUAGAGCUUAAGCAAAUAUGGAAAAGAGGAUCCCCCUGUGAAAACCUAAUCAAGAAUCUGAUAGCAAACUUAUUCAUUACCUAUGAAUAAAUCUAAAACAUUGAUUAUGUACAUGUCUCUGUGACAAAGUUAUGAGAUGCAUUUAAAAUAUUAAAGAAUACUUAAAUAAUUAAAAAUGCAUAUCAUAGUCACAAAAUGGAAAUGUCAAUUUCAUAUACAAAUCAGUUUUCUCCAAAGUGAGAAAUGCAAUGUGCACCAAAGUCUUAAACAGUUAUUAUUUUGUGGAAGUUGGUAGAUUGAUACUAAAUUUUAUAUAAAAGAACAGCUAGUCAAGAGCAGUGACGACAUACUUAAAGGGAAAAAAAGAACGCUAUUUAAAACAAGAUUAUUUUCCACUAUAAUAAAGUAACAGAGAGAGGCCAGAAAUGUACUUAUGGACAUUUGAUACAUGACAGAGUUGACAGUGAAAAUCUGUGGGAAAAUACUGACACAUAGAUUUCUGUUUAACUAUAUGUAUAUACCUUUUCAUGUCAUAUUCAAAAAUCAGUUUAAGUGUAUUACAGAUUGAGAUUUGUGUGGAAACAAAAAACCAGUUUAUUAGGGAACAUUUCCCUUACCCUUGAAUAAGUUUGACCUGUAACUUCCACUGGACAGUGAUAUUUCCCAGAAGUGGUGAGUCAGAUCUGAGCCCAGACAGGAAGAGGAUUUUUUUCCCACUCACUGACUGGGGUUAAUUGUGCUGUGAUGAGAUAAAGACCAAGUAGGUUGACAACAGUCUAGCCAAAUAUAUAUGACAAUAUAUACAGAGAAGCAUGCAGUCUUCUCUAACAAUAGGCUCAUCCACCUGCUAAAGCAGAACUGCCAAGCAGCUCUGCACUGAACAGCUGCUGCUGCUGCUAAGUCGCUUCAGUCAUGUCUGACUCUGUGCAACCCCAUAGACAGCAGCCCACCAGGCUCCCCCGUCCCUGGGAUUCCCCAGGCAAGAACACUGGAGUGGGUUGCCAUUUCCUUCUCCAAUGCAUGAAAGUGAAAGGUGAAAGUGAAGUUGCUCGGUCGUGUCGGACUCUUAGCGACCUCAUGGACUGCAGCCUACCAGGCUGCUCCAUCCGUGAGAUUUUCCAGGCAAGAGUACUGAAGUAGGGUGCCAUUGAACUACAAAUACCCAAAAGAGUUCAGCCAAGAAGACAACAGCUUAGCUGAGUGCAGGUUGAUUGUGAAACCACAGAAUCAAGAGACACAUAAACGAUCUCUGCCUUAAACCCCUAAAUGGGGGAGAUUUCCUGUACAGCUAUGGCUAAUGGUAUAAUAUAAAAAUAAAAAGACAUAUAAUCUAAUAAAAAUGUACAAAGUCAUAAAUAGGAACUUCACAAAGGCAGAAACUGAAAUGCAUGAAAAUGAAACUACAUUAAUAUUCAGAGGAAUGUAAAAUAAAAUAUGAUGAAUUGGUUCAGGAUGACUGCUUUCACUCGCAUGUCCCCAAACUCAUAUGUUGUUAACCUUACCCGCCCUGUGAUGGUGCUAGAAAUGGAGCUUUUGAGGGGUGAUUAUAUCAUGAUAGUGGAGCUUUUAUGAAUGAGAUUUGAACAGUAUCAUAUUCAUAUAAGAGACUUGAGAGAGCUCUGUUGCCCCCUCCACCAUGUUAAGGUACAAGGAGAAGCCUGUGACCUGGAGGAGAGCCCUCACCUGAUCACCCAGGCACCCUGACUCCAGUCUUUCAGCUUUAGAACUGUGAGGAAUAAAGUUCAAUUUUUUUGCUAAGCCACUCAAUCUGUGGUAUUUUGUUAGAGCAGCCUAAACAAUUUAAGAAAAUCACAUAAUGCAACUUUGUCAAUUGAAAACAAAGAAAAUAAGAUGAAUUGGUUCAGGAUGACUGCUUUCACUGCAUGUCCCCAAACUCAUAUGUUGUUAACCUUACCGCCCUGUGAUGGUGCUAGAAAUGGAGCUUUUGAGGGUGAUUAUAUCAUGAUAGUGGAGCUUUUAUGAAUGAGAUUUGAACAGUAUCAUAUUCAUAUAAGAGACUUGAGAGAGCUCUGUUGCCCCCUCCACCAUGUUAAGGUACAAGGAGAAGCCUGUGACCUGGAGGAGAGCCCUCACCUGAUCACCCAGGCACCCUGACUCCAGUCUUUCAGCUUUAGAACUGUGAGGAAUAAAGUUCAAUUUUUUUGCUAAGCCACUCAAUCUGUGGUAUUUUGUUAGAGCAGCCUAAACAAUUUAAGAAAAUCACAUAAUGCAACUUUGUCAAUUGAAAACAAAGAAAAUAAGAUGUCAUUUGCACAAGGUGACAGAAAAAGUUGCAGACGUAAUGCUGGAUCUAAAAUCUCUAUUUUCUGUCCAACCUUAACCCUCUCCAGCCAUGUCACCUCUCCUGUUGCCACAUCAGGAGGAGAAAACCACUGGCAAUACACACAUGGCAUUCAUGCACAGGAAAGAACAGGUAACUCAUUUUGACUCAAAAGUAAUCUGAGAGCUGGACAAAAAUGACCCUUGUGAAGGAUAUUCUUUAGAAGCCCUCUGCCUACAGCCCCACUCAUCACCUGCAUGUUCUCUUUGAUCCGCUUCCUGUUGUAACUCUUGGCUAGAACCACAACCCCACGUUGUAUCUGGUAGCGAAGGGCAACCAGAGCUGGGGUCUGCUUGUGCUUUUUGGCAAUGGCACAAAGAACUGGGUCCUCCAAAAGAAUAGGGUAGUUCGGGUUCACCCUGGAAGGAAAUCAAGAAAUCCUGAGGAGCUGAGAGUGAGUACUCAGUUUCUAAGAGGAUUCUCAAACAGACCAAGUAGGUCCACUCUAGACCAGUGCUUCUCAAAGUGUGGUCCAGGGACCAGCAGCAUUGGUUUCACCUGGAGUCUUGUUAGAAAUACAAAUCCCAUGGCUUAGCUGAAGACAAACUGAAUCAGAAACUUGACUCUGUCACCUCCCAAUCUGUGUUUACAAAGCUCUCCUGGUCACCUGGGUGUAUGCUGAGUUGAGAUCAAUGUUUCCACAGCUGUGGUUUUGUUCUUGUACAUUUCAGGGGUUGUUUUUCCUCUCCAAUCAUAGCCCCAAAGUAAGUACAAGAGCAUAAAAGGAGAAGGAAAAGACGGAUACUUCUUGUUUAACUUUCUCAGUAUUGAUAAAAAUUGAGUAGUCUCAUAGUAACUAUUCUUUUCAUCACUAUUUACAGUGUGCACUACUUAUACAGAUGUUUACAAAAAUGGUUCAAAUUAUCAUUUUUUUUUGAUCAUCAUUGACCUGGGAGGUUUAUUAUCCUGACUUUUGGCAUAAGGUAAGGAGAAGGCAAUGGCACCCCACUCCAGCACUUUUGCCUGGAAAAUCCCAUGGAUGGAGGAGCCUGGUAGGCUGCAAUCCGUGGGGUCGCUAAGAGUUGGACACGACUGAGCAACUUCGGUUUCACUUUUCACUUUCAUGCAUUGGAGAAGGAAAUGGCAAUCCACUCCAGUGUUCUUGCCUGGAGAAUCCCAGGGAUGGGGGAGCCUGGUGGCUGCCGUCUACGGGGUCACACAGGGUCGGACACGACUGAAGUGACUUAGCAUAGCAAGGGAAGCUCAGAGAGUCUUUUACUAGCAACGUGUUCAUUAGUUACUAAGCAAGUAAAUCAUGACUUAAGCUUAUGUCUUAGAUUUCAACUGGGGGAUUAUAUAUAGAUUUUAAUUCAGUCACUUGUUAUUGAUUAAUCUACAAGACACAUAUAAUGUAAAAAAUACUUGGGUAGGUGAUGAGAAGACAAAAGAGAAGGCUCUUCCAUUUUCCCUCUCUACCCUCUGCCAGUUGAGAGCACUGAGUACAACAUAAAAAAACAUAUUCCAUGAAAAAUUGAAUUUUAGGUAAACUCUGUUGUCUUCCUUAGCGUUCAUUACCAAUUUUUCAAUCGUUGGGAUCCCAGAGCACCAUAGGCAACAAGAACAAUAUCAUGUGACUUGCAGAACUCCAACAGUUUGUUCUGAUUGAGAUAAGGGUGACAUUCCACCUGUAGAAUGCCAACAUAAAAGAGUGUCAGGUUAUAUAGGAAGGUGAUACCAAUAUGACAGAGAAAGGCAAAAAGUUUAAAACAUCUAAAGAAAAAAUAAACUAUGGAACACUAAAUUGGAA